AUUGAACGCUGGCGGCAGGCCUACCACAUGCACGUCGAGCGAGCGGCGGACAUGUGAGUAAUGUAUGGGGAUCUGCCCUAUAGAGGUGGAUAACUACUGGACACGGUGCCUAAUACCCCAUACUAUCGGAUGAACCCAUAUGGGAUUAGCUCGUAGGUGGGGUAAAGGCUCACCUAGGCGACGAUCUCUAGCUGGUCUGAGAGGAUGAUCAGCCACACUGGGACUGAGACACGGCCCAUACUCCUACGGGAGGCAGCAGUGGGGAAUAUUGCACAAUGGGCGAAAGCCUGAUGCAGCCAUGCCGCGUGUAUGAAGAAGGCCUUAGGGUUGUAAAGUACUUUCAGCGGGGAGGCGUUACCCGCAGAAGAAGCACCGGCUAACUCCGUGCCAGCAGCCGCGGUAAUUC
rnacentral:rRNA from 1 species